rnacentral:lncRNA from 1 species
GUGUUAGAUUAAGCACACUCUUGCUCUUUCAAGCCUGAAGAUCCAAAUUAUUCAAAGAUAAUCCUAUAACACAUUGAGAGUCAGGUGCACUUGGCUGCUCUUUGGCACUGCUUAGAAUCUGGUCAUGUUUCAGAAAUUGUAUUUGAUUCUUUUCCCAUGUAAUUAUUUAUCAAAAAUAUUGCCAGGGUCUGGGGAGCUGGCUCAGCGAGGAAGGCACUAAGAACCUAAGUUCAGAUCCUUGGCUACAUGAAAGAUGGGACGUGUGGUAGAUACUUGAAUUCCAGCAUUCAGAGGGCAAAGACAGGGGAUCCCCUAGGCAAUAUGGUUAACCAGACUACCUGGAAUUGGUGAGCUCAAAGUUUGGUAUUUUAUUUAAAAACAAAAAAGUAGAGAGCAAGACACCUAGCAUCAGUUCCAGCCUUCCACAUGCACACACACAUACACAUAAGCACACAUGCACACACACAUACACACAACAGAAACAGUGUCCAUUUAAACGGGGAUUCAUGUGUGUUAUACUGCUACAAAAAUCUAUGUGAACAUUGGUCUGAAGCAAAGCUGUAGAAGAAUGCUCUGUGAUGAUGUCAGUGAUGCCCCAGAUGUGGAAGAAUGCUCUGUGAUGAUGUCAGUGAUGCCCCAGAUGUGGAAGAAUGCUCUGUGAUGAUGUCAGUAAUGCCCCAGAUGUGGAAGAAUGCUCUGUGAUGAUGUCAGUGAUGCCCCAGAUCUGUGCUAUGCCUGGACCAGCUGCUCAGUACAACUACAAUCGAAGGGCUGGAUUUCAAAAUAAAUUACUUAAAACCUGAAUAGAAACACGUGGAAAGCCACCAACUAACCCGCUAUCAGUCUGUUUUCUGUUGCUAUAAUGAAAUGCCUAAAGCUGGGUACAUUGUAAAGAAAAAAGAGGUUUAUUUAGCUCAUAGUCUCGGGUAUUAAGGGACAUAGUGUCUCAGGAAGGUCCUUUGUGUCACACAAUGAUGAAACUACAAAUGAGAGGAAGAGUUGCCAUGGUGAGGCAGGAAGCCAAAGGGUAGAGAGGACCUGGUUUUAUUCAGACUUCCACCUCUGGAGGACCUAAAAGAUAUCACGGAAGGCCUCUUAAUCCUUGCUGAGGGUAAUGGCCCAGUGACCGCCAACUUUCCACUCUGUGCACUUCUUAAGAGUCCACCGUACCUCAAACCACCGUGCUUAAGAGCAAGUGUCAGAUGCAUGAGCCUUGGUGAGCACAUCAUGGCAAAAAGCAGUGGCAGGUCUGGAAGGCCGUGAGGGCUUCCCGCCUUCACCCUGAGGAGUAGAGCAAGUCUAAGUCACUCUCUGGGUCUCAUUCGCUUGCCUCCAACCUGAAGCUGCCACUCUUGGCUCCUGAGAUUUUAAGAAGUUAAUGAGAGGAAUUAGGUUUUAGGUUCUCUGUAAGCUUGUGUGGGUCUCCUGUAAGUCUGCUGCAGGGGCUGUGUCAGUCAGAACUGUCAUCAUAUCCUUUCUUUAGGUUCUUUGUAACCCAGGUAUCCUAGUGGGCUGCAUCAAAAGGACUUGUUCAGAUCCCAGCCCUCAGGCCUUGUGAAUGUGACCAUGUUUGGAAAUAAAUCUAUUUAUUUUUUUAAAGAUUUAUUUAUUAAAUGUAAGUAGGCUGUAGCUGUUGUUAGACACUACAGAAGAAGGAGUCAGAUCUCAUUAUGGGUGGUUGUGAGCCACCAUGUGGUUGCUGGGAUUUGAACUCAGGACUUUCAGAAGAGCAGUCGGUGCUCUU